rnacentral:rRNA from 1 species
UACGAAGGGGGCUAGCGUUGCUCGGAAUCACUGGGCGUAAAGGGCGCGUAGGCGGCCAUUUAAGUCGGGGGUGAAAGCCUGUGGCUCAACCACAGAAUUGCCUUCGAUACUGGAUGGCUUGAGACCGGAAGAGGUAAGUGGAACUGCGAGUGUAGAGGUGAAAUUCGUAGAUAUUCGCAAGAACACCAGUGGCGAAGGCGGCUUACUGGUCCGGAUCUGACGCUGAGGCGCGAAAGCAUGGGGAGCAAACAGG